rnacentral:rRNA from 1 species
UCGGUUGAUCCUGCCGGAGGCUACCGCUAUUGGAGUUCGAUUAAGCCAUGCGAGUCGCGAGUCUUAGGGACUCGGCGUACCGCUCAGUAACACGUGGGUAACCUGCCCUAUGCUGGGGGAUAACCUCGGGAAACUGAGAAUAAUACCCCAUAGUUCACCACGCCUGGAACGGUGGGUGGAUGAAAGCUCCGGCGGCAUAGGAUGGGCCUGCGGCGUAUCAGGUUGUAGGGGGUGUAAUGUACCCUCUAGCCAUCUACGCGUACGGGUGUUGGGAGACAUCGCCCGGAGAUGGAUUCUGAGACACGAAUCCAGACCCUACGGGGUGCAGCAGGCGCGAAAACUUGGCAAUGCGAGCAAUCGUGACCAGGGAACUCCAAGUGCAUCGGGUAAGACCGAUGCUUUUCUUGACUCUUCAAAGGUCUUGGAAUAAGGGGUGGGUAAGGACGGUGCCAGCCGCCGCGGUAAUACCGGCGCCUCAAGUGGUAGUCGCUUUUAUUGGGCCUAAAACGUCCGUAGCCGGUUUGGUACAUUCGUGGGUAAAUCAAGGCGCUCAACGUCUUGAAUUCUGCGAGCACGGCCAGACUUGGGACCGGGUGAGGUGUGGGGUACUCUCAGGGUAGGGGUAAAAUCCUGUCAUCCUGAGAGGACCACCUGUUGCGAAGGCGCCACACUAGAACGGAUCCGACGGUCAGGGACGAAGCCUAGGGGCACGAACCGGAUUAGAUACCCGGGUAGUCCUAGGUGUAAACGCUGUGGACUUGAUGUUGGGAGUGCUCCGAGCACCCUCAGUGUCGAAGCGAAGGUGAUAAGUCCACUGCCUGGGGAGUACGGUCGCAAGGCUGAAACUUAAAGGAAUUGGCGGGGGAGCACUGCAACCUGAGGAUUGUGCGGUUUAAUUGGAGUCAACGCCGG